rnacentral:tRNA from 1 species
UAUCUUAAUAGCUUAUUUAGAGUGUAAUAUUGAAGAUAUUAAGGAAUUUUUUUUUAAGAUAU